rnacentral:ncRNA from 1 species
UGGCUGGGGCGGCACAUCUGCUAAACAUCAACGCAGAUGCCCUAAGGUUAACUCAAAGAGAACAGAAAUCUCUUGUAGACCGAAAGGAGAAAAGUUAGCAUUAUUCGGAUUUGUAUCAUCAAUAAGAAUUGCGAAAGCAUGGCCUAUCGAUCCUUUAAGCCCAGAAAGAUUCUGGCUAGAGGUGACGGAAAAGUUACCACAGGGAUAACUGGCUUGUGGCAGCCAAGCGUUCAUAGCGACGUUGCUUUUUGACCCUUCGAUGUCGGCUCUUCCUAUCAUUGAGUUGCAGAAGUCUCAAAGUGUCGGAUUGUUCACCCGUUAAUAGGGAACGUGAGCUGGGUUUAGACCGUCGUGAGACAGGUUAGUUUUAUCCUACUUAUACACGCAUCAAAAGAGUUAAUCAACUUAGUACGAGAGGAACCGUUGAUUCAAACCGCUGGUUAAGCGUUUGACUGUAAAGUCAAAGACGCAAAGCUACGUUUGAUGGAUAAUGACUGAACGCCUCUAAGUCAAAAUCCUAACUUGUGAAAAGAUGUAUUAG